GACGAACCGAGCGAACGUUGUUCGGAAUCACUGGGCUUAAAGGGCGCGUAGGCGGGCUGUCAAGUCUGGGGUGAAAUCCCGCGGCUCAACCGUGGAACUGCGUCAGAUACUGACGGUCUCGAGGGAGGUAGGGGCGAGCGGAACUGAUGGUGGAGCGGUGAAAUGCGUUGAUAUCAUCAGGAACUCCGGUGGCGAAGGCGGCUCGCUGGACCUCUUCUGACGCUGAGGCGCGAAAGCCAGGGGAGCAAACGGG
rnacentral:rRNA from 1 species